rnacentral:rRNA from 1 species
UACGGAGGGUGCGAGCGUUGUCCGGAAUCACUGGGCGUAAAGGGCGCGUAGGCGGCGCGGGGAGUCAACGGUGAAAGCUCGGCGCUCAACGCCGAGUCGGCCGUCGAUACUCCCCGUGCUCGAGCACUGUAGAGGCAGGUGGAAUUCCGGGUGUAGCGGUGGAAUGCGUAGAGAUCCGGAAGAACACCGGUGGCGAAGGCGGCCUGCUGGGCAGUAGCUGACGCUGAGGCGCGACAGCGUGGGGAGCAAACAGG